UAAUACGUAGGGGGCAAGCGUUAUCCGGAUUUAUUGGGCGUAAAGCGCGCGUAGGCGGCCGACCACGUCGGAUGUGAAAGCUUAGGGCUCAACCCUGAGAGGCCAUUCGAUACGGGUCGGCUAGAGGCAGGUAGGGGAGAAUGGAAUUCCUGGUGUAGCGGUGAAAUGCGCAGAUAUCAGGAGGAACACCGGUGGCGAAGGCGGUUCUCUGGGCCUGUUCUGACGCUGAGGUGCGAAAGCUGGGGGAGCAAACAGGAUUAGAUACCCUGGUAGUCCCAGCCGUAAACGUUGGGUGCUAGGUGUGGGGCGGUCUUCAACCCGUUCCGUGCCGAAGCUAACGCAUUAAGCACCCCGCCUGGGGAGUACGGCCGCAAGGCUA
rnacentral:rRNA from 1 species